CACAAAGAUGUGCAUGCUGGACCAAAUCAGUCCAAGGAAAAUGAAACUCACCAGCUAGUUAAUGCAGACUCACCAUUUCCAUUAUGUAAAGAAAGUACCAGUACUUUAUCAAUUUUAAAGAAAUGUGAUUUUGUUAAUAGUGCUAGAAAAUUUUUUAUAUGUGACUUGUGUCAAAAGCAAAUGUUAAAAAUAAAUUACUUAGAAUUUACCGAAUAUACCAUUGUGGAAUAAAA